CUUUGCGCUCCUGGGAGGAAGGUACUUGGCAGGAUUCAGACCCAGCCAACGCCCCCUGCACAGUUUGCACCGCCCCAUGUCUCUGAUCCUGCCUUCUCUUCCCAGGUAGAAAUCGCUUCUUACCCAGGCCUGAGAAGACACUGGUAGAACAGGCUCCGACUCGGAUAACUGGUCUCCAAUUCUUCCAUGUGCUCCUCAGCCCCCAGACUUCCUUUAUCAGAGUUCAAUGCUUAUUACUAUGAAAGCAACACAAAGAAAUAAAGUGAUAUCUACCUGAAACAAUUGUCCAUGAGAAUCUAUGACUGUCGGGUCGCUCUGUGCUCCGCCUUCUGGGAAGAUCCUUGAGGGGUCUACUGACACUCAGAUUCCCUGUUGGUCAGUUUCCAAAACCUGACCUUGGGCCGUGGGGCAUUAUGAGUCAUAGUUUCUGAGUUUGGGUCCCAUGAAAGGUGUAUAUGUGCGUCUGAGUGGAGGAGCAACGCUUUUUGCUACACUUUCUCUGAUACUGCGGCUGCUGGCCUUUCCACACCUUGAUGAUUGUUCCAGGUUUCUAAGAAGCUCUCCCCUCUUCCCCCUCCUCCACUCAUCCCAAAGGGCCCCUAAACUGUUCCAGAAGGGACUCCUGACCAGCCUGUGACAGCCCCCCUCCAAGUUCUACAUGUCCCUCUCUGGGCCUCAUACUCUUGCCUGGGGUAGAAAGAACCACUGACACUCUCGGUGGUGAGGUCACUGUCUUGGCCUGAAUUCCCUGCUUAUGAAAUAGCAGCUGGGAUGGCCGGGCCAAUUCUGGUGGAGCCACACCCACAGCGAGAGGUAUAAGGGAUGCGGCUGACACUGGCCACCGCAGCCUCCUGCCCUCACUAUGAAGCUUAACAACCUCCUGGUCUUCACGGUGCUCCUGGCCCUCAGGAUCCUGUCGUCCUGGGCUGUCGUAGAUGCGGGCAAAG